rnacentral:rRNA from 1 species
GACGAACGCUGGCGGCGUGCUUAACACAUGCAAGUCGAACGGAAAGGCCCUGCUUUUGUGGGGUGCUCGAGUGGCGAACGGGUGAGUAACACGUGAGUAACCUGCCCUUGACUUUGGUAUAACUUCAGGAAACUGGGGCUAAUACCGUAUAGGAGAUCCUGCUGCAUGGUGGGGGUUGGAAAGUCUCGGCGGUUGGGGAUGGAUUCGCGGCUUAUGAACUUGUUGGUGGGGUAGUGGCUUACCCAGGCUUUGACGGGUCGGCGGCCCGGGAGGGUGACCGGCCACAUUGGUACUGAGAUACGGCCCAGACUCCUACGGGAGGCAGCAGUGGGGAAUAUUGCACAAUGGGCGGAAGCCUGAUGCAGCAACGCCGCGUGCGGGAUGACGGCCUUCGGGUUGUAAACCGCUUUCGCCUGUGACGAAGCGUGAGUGACGGUAAUGGGUAAAGAAGCACCGGCUAACUACGUG